AACGAACGCUGGCGGCAUGCCUAACACAUGCAAGUCGAACGAAGGCUUCGGCCUUAGUGGCGCACGGGUGCGUAACGCGUGGGAAUCUGCCCUUGGGUUCGGAAUAACGUCGGGAAACUGACGCUCAUACCGGUUGAUGACGUAAGUCAAACGAUGUAUCGCCCAAGGGUGAGCCCGCGUCGGAUUAGCUAGUUGGUGAGGUAAAAGCUCACCAAGGCGACGAUCCGUAGCUGGUCGGAGAGGAUGAUCAGCCACACUGGGACUGAGACACGGCCCAGACUCCUACGGAAGGCAGCAGUGGGGAAUAUUAGACAAGGGGCGAAGGCCUGAUCCAGCAAUGCCGCGUAAGUGAUGAAGGCCUUAGUGUUGUAAAGCUCUUUUACCCGGGAUGAUAAUGACGGUACCGGGAGAAUAAGCACCGGCUAACUCCGUG
rnacentral:rRNA from 1 species